GAUGAAGAACGUAGCGAAAUGCGAUAAGUAAUGUGAAUUGCAGAAUUCAGUGAAUCAUCGAAUCUUUGAACGCACAUUUCGCCCGCCGGUAUUCUGGCGGGCAUGCCUGUUCGAGCGUCAUUUCAACCAUCAAGCCCCCGGCUUGUGUUGGGGACCUGCGGCUGCCGCAGGCCCUGAAAAGCAGUGGCGGGCUCGCUGUCACACCGAGCGUAGUAGCAUACAUCUCGCUCUGGGCGUGCUGCGGGUUCCGGCCGUUAAACCACCUUCAUAACCCAAGGUUGACCUCGGAUCAGGUAGGAAGACCCGCUGAACUUAAGCAUAUCAAUAAGCGGAGGA
rnacentral:misc_RNA from 1 species